GACGAACGCUGGCGGCGUGCUUAACACAUGCAAGUCGAACGAUGAAGCCUUUCGGGGUGGAUUAGUGGCGAACGGGUGAGUAACACGUGGGCAAUCUGCCCUGCACUCUGGGACAAGCCCUGGAAACGGGGUCUAAUACCGGAUAUGACCAUCUGGGGCAUCUUGGGUGGUGGAAAGCUUUUGCGGUGCAGGAUGGGCCCGCGGCCUAUCAGCUUGUUGGUGGGGUGAUGGCUCACCAAGGCGACGACGGGUAGCCGGCCUGAGAGGGCGACCGGCCACACUGGGACUGAGACACGGCCCAGACUCCUACGGGAGGCAGCAGUGGGGAAUAUUGCACAAUGGGCGCAAGCCUGAUGCAGCGACGCCGCGUGGGGGAUGACGGCCUUCGGGUUGUAAACCUCUUUCAGCAGGGAAGAAGUCUUUCGGGGUGACGGUACCUGCAGAAGAAGCGCCGGCUAACUACGUGCCAGCAGCCGCCGUAA
rnacentral:rRNA from 1 species